rnacentral:lncRNA from 1 species
UUGAUGUUGUUACAGGGUGGUAAAGCUUCACCAGCGGCCCCCUUUCCCUUGGAGGCAGUUCCCUGCACUUGUUGAUGUUGUUACAGGGUGGUGGUUAAGCUUCACCAGCGGCCCCCUUUCCCUUGGAGGCAGUUCCCUGCACUUGUUGAUGUUGUUACAGGGUGGUGGUUAAGCUUCACCAGCGGCCCCCUUUCCCUUGGAGGCAGUUCCCUGCACUUGUUGAUGUUGUUACAGGGUGGUGGUUAAGCUUCACCAGCGGCCCCCUUUCCCUUGGAGGCAGUUCCCUGCACUUGUUGAUGUUGUUACAGGGUGGUAAAGCUUCACCAGCGGCCCCCUUUCCCUUGGAGGCAGUUCCCUGCACUUGUUGAUGUUGUUACAGGGUGGUUAAGCUUCACCAGCGGCCCCC